rnacentral:rRNA from 1 species
UACAGAGGUGGCAAGCGUUGUUCGGAAUUACUGGGCGUAAAGGGCGCGUAGGCGGCCUUCUAAGUCAGACGUGAAAUCCCCCGGCUUAACCUGGGAACUGCGUCUGAUACUGGAUGGCUUGAGUUUGGGAGAGGGAUGCGGAAUUCCAGGUGUAGCGGUGAAAUGCGUAGAUAUCGUGGAGGAACACCGGGUGGCGAAGGCGGCAUCCUGGACCAACACUAGACGCUGAGUGAGCGAAAGCCAGGGGAGCAAACGGG